rnacentral:RNase_P_RNA from 1 species
GAGCGCACCGCGCGGCUGGUAACAGUCCGCGGCACGGUAAACUCCACCCGGAGCAAGGCCAAAUAGGGGUUCAUAAGGUACGGCCCGUACUGAACCCGGGUAGGCUGCUUGAGCCAGUGAGCGAUUGCUGGCCUAGAUGAAUGACUGUCCACGACAGAACCCGGCUUAUCGGUCAGUUUCACCU